AUAGUGUUUAAUUGAAUUCUCGUUCAUGAUAAGAAAUGAAUUAAUUUUUCUUUUAUUAAAAAGGUAACUUCAAUUAAAAAGGGGAUUCCAUAAGAAAUUUUGAGGAUGUCGAAAUUGAGAUAUAUGCAUUCAUAUAAAUUCAAAACUUAUGCAAAUUCAGUUUUGUCCAUUAUUCCUUAGCUGUUACUAAAUAACGACAGAAAAUAAUAUGGUAUUUCCAAAAUAUAAAGGAUCAAAGUGUCGAUAUGUCAAAUUCAAGGUUAUUUUGGACUCAAUAUCAUAUUUUCGUUUGCACCGACGCAAAAUACAGAAAGCGCACAGGAAAAAUAAAAUCAAUUACGAACGUAGCAGUCCAUUAUUACUCCAUUUAUGAAAAGAACUAGGAAAUAGAACAGCACUUCGUGCGGUUUUAAAAAAAAGAAUUUAGUAUUA
rnacentral:lncRNA from 1 species